rnacentral:miRNA from 1 species
UAAGCUUUGCUUGGUCUUAUUUCACUUAGUUUCGUGUUUUUGGGGUGUGCAUGCAUAUUCACCCUAAAAACGCAAAACGAAGUGAAGUAAGCCCAAACAAAUCCA